rnacentral:rRNA from 1 species
UACGUAGGGUGCGAGCGUUGUCCGGAAUUAUUGGGCGUAAAGGGCUCGUAGGCGGUUUGUCGCGUCGGGAGUGAAAUCCACUGGCUUAACUGGUGGCUUGCUUUCGAUACGGGCAGACUGGAGGUAUGCAGGGGAGAACGGAAUUCCUGGUGUAGCGGUGAAAUGCGCAGAUAUCAGGAGGAACACCAGUAGCGAAGGCGGCACUCUGGGCCGUGACUGACGCUGAGGAGCGAAAGCGUGUGUAGCAAACAGG